UUAAAAUACAUAUUCCUCUGCUGUAAAGAUGUUGGGUUUUUUUUUGGACUCUUCUUUGUUGUCCCCAAAUAAUUGUAGCUCAGAAACAAUAUUGAAGUUCAUUGGUUUAAUUUUGAAAUGUUGACGUUUUUUGUGUUCAUUGUAUGUGCUCAUUUUGACCUAUGUUACUAUUGCUUUCUAUCAUGUUCAAUUCACCAUUGUUCUGCACAUAUGUGCUUGCAUACAAGUGUCCAGUGGUUAUAUUCAUGAGGCAUUCAAGGGACUUGUACUAAAAGAUACAACUCAGUUCAGUAUGAAUUGCAUAUUUUAAUGGCUGAAAAUAUAUCUGAUCUCUUUCAGAACAUCACCUGAUCACCUGUCUGUAAUCCACCUGCUUAAGUUCUGGUCAAGGGGCUCAUCGGCUAUCAAAUUAUAGAUUUCAGUGGCUAAUAGAAGACACUGCUGAGGUCAGAUGAGAGUGCAUCCUCAAAGGUCUGUGUGUACCUAAAUGAAGAUCCAGAGAAGCUGGUGAGGGAGUACAUGGACGUUGAUGAAUGUGCAGAAAUGGCCAAAGCCGAGACUGUCCUCGGAAUCGUCAUUUGAGCAGAGGGUGCCGAUGCACAUCUGGAUGUUGGGAUUGUCCUGGAGGGGGUGGAAGUUAUGAACAGCUUGGGCAGUGUAUCUUCUGCAAUAGUGAUGCUGCUGGGACUAAUCUACGCACUAAACUUGAGCUACCCUCAAGUUUAGUGCGUUCAGCACUCAACUUGCUCAGUAACUCAAGCAUACCUUUGAAGUAA